rnacentral:rRNA from 1 species
GACGAACGCUGGCGGCGUGCUUAACACAUGCAAGUCGAACGGAAAGGCCCUGCUUUUGUGGGAUGCUCGAGUGGCGAAAGGGUGAGUAACACGUGAGUAACCUGCCCUUGACUUUGGGGUAACUUCAGGAAACUGGGGCUAAUACCGGAUAGGAGCUCCUGCUGCAUGGUGGGGGUUGGAAAGUUUCGGCGGUUGGGGAUGGACUCGCGGCUUAUCAGCUUGUUGGUGGGGUAGUGGCUUACCAAGGCUUUGACGGGUAGCCGGCCUGAGAGGGUGACCGGCCACAUGGGGACUGAGGUACGGACCAGACGCGUACGGGAGGCAGCGGUGGGGAAUAUUGCAGAAUGGGCGGAAGCGUGAUGCAGAAACGCCGGGUGCGGGAUGACGGCCUUCGGGUGGUAAACCGCUUUCGCAUGUGACGAAGGGUGAGUGACGGUAAUGGGUAAAGAAGCACCGGCUAACUACGUG